rnacentral:rRNA from 1 species
UACGUAGGUGGCAAGCGUUGUCCGGAAUUAUUGGGCGUAAAGCGCGCGCAGGCGGUCCUUUAAGUCUGAUGUGAAAGCCCACGGCUCAACCGUGGAGGGUCAUUGGAAACUGGGGGACUUGAGUGCAGGAGAGAAGAGUGGAAUUCCACGUGUAGCGGUGAAAUGGGUAGAGAUGUGGAGGAACACCAGUGGCGAAGGCGACUCUUUGGCCUGUAACUGACGCUGAGGCGCGAAAGCGUGGGGAGCAAACAGG